GUGCUCGCUUUGGCAGCAUAUAUACUAAAAUUGGAACAGUACAGAGAAGAUUAGCAUUGCCCCUGCACAAAGAUGACACUCAAAUUUGUGAAGCAUUCCAUUUUUUU